rnacentral:rRNA from 1 species
GGAACGAACGCUGGCGGCAUGCCUAAUACAUGCAAGUCGAACGAACUCUUCGGAGUUAGUGGCGCACGGGUGCGUAACGCGUGGGAAUCUGCCCUUGGGUUCGGAAUAACAGUUGGAAACGACUGCUAAUACCGGAUGAUGACGAAAGUCCAAAGAUUUAUCGCCCAGGGAUGAGCCCGCGUAGGAUUAGCUAAGUUGGUGAGGUAAAGGCUCACCAAGGCGACGAUCCUUAGCUGGUCUGAGAGGAUGAUCAGCCACACUGGGGACUGAGACACGGCCCAGACUCCUACGGGAGGCAGCAGUAGGGAAUAUGGACAAUGGGCGAAAGCCUGAUCCAGCAAUGCCGCGUGAGUGAUGAAGGCCUAGGUUGUAAAGCUCUUUUACCCGAGAUUGAUAAUGACAGUAAUCGGAGAAUAAGCCCCGGCUAACGUCCGUGCCGAGCUAGCCGCGGU